CAAUAGCGUAUAUUAAAGUUGUUGCAGUUAAAAAGCUCGUAGUUGGAUUUCUGGUGGGAGCGAUCGGUCUGGCGCUUAGCGCGAGUACUUGCAUCGUCUCCGGCCAUCCUUGGGGAAAGUCUAUCUGGCAUUAAGUUGUCGGGCAGAGGAUCCUCAUCGUUUACUGUGAAAAAAUUAGAGUGUUCAAAGCAGGCUUAUGCCGUUGAAUAUAUUAGCAUGGAAUAAUAAGAUAGGACUUUGGUACUAUUUUGUUGGUUUGCGCACCAAAGUAAUGAUUAAUAGGGACAGUUGGGGGUAUUCGUAUUCCGUUGUCAGAGGUGAAAUUCUUGGAUUUACGGAAGACGAACUACUGCGAAAGCAUUUACCAAGGAUGUUUUCAUUAA
rnacentral:rRNA from 1 species